GCUUGUCUCAAAGAUUAAGCCAUGCAUGUCUAAGUAUAAGCAAUUAUACCGUGAAACUGCGGAAGGCUCAUUAAAUCAGUUAUCGUUUAUUUGAAAAUACCUUACUACUUGGAUAACCGUGGUAAUUCUAGAGCUAAUACAUGCUGAAAACCCCGACUUCGGAAGGGGUGUGUUUAUUAGAUAAAAAACCAACGCCCUUCGGGGCUCCUUGGUGAUUCAUGAUAAAUUUACGGAUCGCAUGGCCUUGCGCCGGCGACGGUUCAUUCAAAUUUCUGCCCUAUCAACUUUCGACGGUAGGGUAUUGGCCUACCAUGGUUUCAACGGGUAACGGGGAAUUAGGGUUCGAUUCCGGAGAGGGAGCCUGAGAAACGGCUACCACAUCCAAGGAAGGCAGCAGG
rnacentral:rRNA from 1 species